CCUACGGGGGGCUGCAGUGGGGAAUAUUGGACAAUGGGCGAAAGCCUGAUCCAGCCAUGCCGCGUGUGUGAAGAAGGCCUUCGGGUUGUAAAGCACUUUCAGUGGGGAAGAAAGCCUUGGGGCUAAUACCCUCGAGGAAGGACAUCACCCACAGAAGAAGCACCGGCUAACUCCGUGCCAGCAGCCGCGGUAAUACGGAGGGUGCGAGCGUUAAUCGGAAUUACUGGGCGUAAAGCGCGCGUAGGCGGUCUGAUAAGCCGGUUGUGAAAGCCCCGGGCUCAACCUGGGAACGGCAUCCGGAACUGUCAGGCUAGAGUGCGGGAGAGGAAGGUAGAAUUCCCGGUGUAGCGGUGAAAUGCGUAGAGAUCGGGAGGAAUACCAGUGGCGAAGGCGGCCUUCUGGACUGACACUGACGCUGAGGUGCGAAAGCGUGGGUAGCAAACAGGAUUAGAUACCCUAGUAGUC
rnacentral:rRNA from 1 species